rnacentral:rRNA from 1 species
GAUGAACGCUGGCGGCGUGCCUAACACAUGCAAGUCGAGCGGCAGCGCGAGUAGUUUACUACUUGGCGGCGAGCGGCGGACGGCUGAGUAACGCGUGGGAAUUUGCCCCAAAGUGAGGAAUAACUGCCCGAAAGGGUAGCUAAUACCGCAUAUGGUCUUCGGAUUAAAGGAUUUAUCCGCUUUGGGAGAAGCCCGCGUACGAUUAGAUUGUUGGUGAGGUAAUGGCUCACCAAGUCGACGAUCGUUAGCUGGUCUGAGAGGAUGAUCAGCCAGACUGGAACUGAGACACGGUCCAGACUCCUACGGGAGGCAGCAGUGAGGAAUCUUCCACAAUGGGGGCAACCCUGAUGGAGCAACGCCGCGUGCAGGAUGAAGGCCUUCGGGUUGUAAACUGCUUUUAUUUGUGAAGAAUAUGACGGUAACAAAUGAAUAAGGGUCGGCUAACUACGUGCCAGCAGCCGCGGUCAUACGUAGGACCCAAGCGUUAUCCGGAGUGACUGGGCGUAAAGAGUUGCGUAGGUGGUUAAUAAAGUGAAUAGUGAAACCUGGUGGCUCAACCAUACAGACUAUUAUUCAAACUUAUUAACUCGAGAGUAGCAGAGGUAACUGGAAUUUCUUGUGUAGGAGUGAAAUCCGUAGAUAUAAGAAGGAACACCAAUGGCGUAGGCAGGUUACUGGGGCUAUUUCUGACACUGAGGCACGAAAGCGUGGGGGAGCGAACCGGAUUAGAUACCCGGGUAGUCCACGCCGUAAACGAUGGAUGCUAGCUGUUGGAGGUAUCGACCCCUUCAGUAGCGAAGCUAACGCGUUAAGCAUCCCGCCUGUGGAGUACGGCCGCAAGGCUAAAACAUAAAGGAAUUGACGGGGACCCGCACAAGCGGUGGAUCGUGUUCUUUAAUUCGAUGAUAAACGAAGAACCUUACCAGGGCUUGACAUCCAGGGAAGUUCUGCGAAAGCAGAGUGUGCCUUUUGGAACCCUGUGACAGGUGUUGCAUGGCCGUCGUCAGCUCGUGUCGUGAGAUGUUUGGUUAAGUCCAUCAACGAGCGCAACCCUUGUACUUAGUUGUAUUUUUCUAGGUAGACUGCCCCGGUAACGGGGAGGAAGGAGGGGAUGAUGUCAGGUCAGUAUUACCCUUACGUCCUGGGCUAGAAACACGAUACAAUGGCCAGUACAAUGCGCAGCGAAGCCGCGAGGUGGAGCAAAUCGCAUCAAAGCUGGUCCCAGUUCGGAUAAGAGGCUGAAACUCGCCUCUUUGAAGUCGGAAUCGCUAGUAAUCGCAAAUCAGCAAGUUGCGGUGAAUACGUUCCCGGGUCUUGUACACACCGCC